CCUACGGGUGGCAGCAGUGGGGAAUAUUGGACAAUGGGCGAAAGCCUGAUCCAGCCAUGCCGCGUGUGUGAAGAAGGCCUUCGGGUUGUAAAGCACUUUCAGUGGGGAAGAAAGCCUUGGGGCUAAUACCCUCGAGGAAGGACAUCACCCACAGAAGAAGCACCGGCUAACUCCGUGCCAGCAGCCGCGGUAAUACGGAGGGUGCGAGCGUUAAUCAGAAUUACUGGGCGUAAAGCGCGCGUAGGCGGUCUGAUAAGCCGGUUGUGAAAGCCCCGGGCUCAACCUGGGAACGGCAUCCGGAACUGUCAGGCUAGAGUGCAGGAGAGGAAGGUAGAAUUCCCGGUGUAGCGGUGAAAUGCGUAGAGAUCGGGAGGAAUACCAGUGGCGAAGGCGGCCUUCUGGACCGACACUGACGCUGAGGUGCGAAAGCGUGGGUAGCAAACAGGAUUAGAUACCCCUGUAGUC
rnacentral:rRNA from 1 species